ACACGACUCUCGGCAAUGGAUAUCUCGGCUCUCGCAUCGAUGAAGAGCGCAGCGAAAUGCGAUACGUGGUGCGAAUUGCAGAAUCCCGCGAACCAUCGAGUCUUUGAACGCAAGUUGCGCCCGAGGCCAACCGGCCAAGGGCACGUCUGCCUGGGCGUCAAUC
rnacentral:rRNA from 3 species